UCGAGUUUUCACAUCUUUAUUAUUGUUGUUGUUGUUGUUAUUAUUAUUAUUAUUAUCAUCAUCAUCAUCAUCAUCAUCAUCGAAGUAUUUCACGUCCAGAGCUAAGACAAGACUACAAACACAACACAUAGAAAAUUAAUAAAAUAGAACUUUGUUUUCUUCUGAGGCUCCUCUUCUUACUUCUAGGUAGUAUGUGCUCCUUCCAGUGGCUUUGGGGAGGGGGUGGGAGAGACGACAGGUCUGGGAUCAGGGAGUCUUCAAGGCCCCCGCUGAGGGGACAGCGAAUCUACCAUUGAACCGUGCACGGGGGACAUGGACAAAAUGAGACGCGACAGGGACAAGAGCAUUUUGCUCUGCUUCCAGGAAACAUCAAGUAGACUUCGCUUGAAAAGAUCGAGAAUGGAGGAGGGGAUCGGCACUCACUUGCAGACAUCAACAGUUUCCAGAAAAUUCGGUUCAAUUCCUUCACCACGGACCCACCAACCAAGGAGCUGGCAAAACCCACUAACCAACCAGGAGAACACAGACCCGCCGUUUCCUCUCCCUCGCCGGCCUCGGCGGAGAUUCCAGGCCCUAUAGAAACCAGGACGUCCCUUAGCGCCACCGCCUCACAUGCCAGUGCUGCCGGGAACCCAGCGAUAUCCGCACCAGCGGAGAAGGUUCCAGGCUGCCGGCGGCGGCGCAGAGAGCGGGAAGAGAGGCUCGGAGGAAGCCCCGGGCGUGGCGUGGUCAGGCUCCGAGAGCGGCCGGGAUGCGGCCACACCGGCCUGGUAAACUCGCACCUCUUAGGAUCUUGCUCCCGGACUCAUUCCCUUCCCCACCCCCUAUUUUAAAGUUUUAUUUGGGUCGUCUGUAUCAAUUUAGAACGAGAUAAAUUAAGACAAAGAAAGUAAAAUAAAUCGAAAUAAAAUAUAGGAAUAGCUCUUGGCGAAAA
rnacentral:lncRNA from 1 species